ensembl:lncRNA
CUCCCUUUGGCGCAUCUGUACCUUGGUCUUCCUGGCUCUUCUUCAGGGGCAUGUGACGAUGAAGUGACAGGCAAGUGUAAAACCUCGGUGAAUAACUGUCACAAAUUCUAACGCUUGCCAUUACGUCUUCCUUAUUCCUGGACUCAGAGAUGAGACUUCUCCUGUGGAUCUUUUGCAUUCUGUCUGACUCACGGGCUUCUCACGCUGCUCUGUGGACCCCUGCUCGUCCAACACCUCCCCGUGCUUGCUCCAGUCCCUGCUGGAGAGGAUGAACCGCUCUGGAUUAUGACAAGCCUACUGGUCACCAAGAACUACGUUCACCAGGAGCGAUUUUCGGAGCCAGUGGCCGCAUUUGAGUCGCGCUCACUGCCAAAAGACGUGGUGGCUUUUGGAAGCAGAGCUCAUCCUGGAUGCGACAUGUAGACACUGCUGAUGCCUCCUUCUGAUAAAGGUACCGCGGGGCUCCUGACGCUGAUGUCCGAGCCUCUCAGGAAAGCCGAGACUCAAAUGUGACUUUCAAUUUCUGAAAACAUAGAUGAGAUACAGCACAACCUUCCAGAAAGCAGAACGCGGUGAUUGAAACCAAAGGCUGCAAGUAACCUUUUCCUAAGCACGCAGCCGUUCUGUGGGAGAAUUCGGUGUUACAUGCAAUAGAGGUUCUAUGUGCACAGAGGUGUGACCCCGUCCAUGUUUGAAUCCCACCAAAUGCUUGUAACAGCACAGCACUUCUCCGAGCUUCCUAAAGUUACUUGUCCCCCCCCCCCCCCACAGCGUCUCUCUGAUCCAUCUCUGUUCUGAUGAGCGGGACAGAACCGGAAGCAGGGAAUAGACCCAGCAGGUGAGCCCAGCAGGUGCCGCAGAGGUGCGAGCACGGUAUCCAAUCACUUAGAGCGGACAGUCAGCUGUUUCAUUUCUUACGUUACAUAAAAAGUGGUUGAGAAACGUAAAUGUCUUAUUCACAGGCCUGGAUUACAUGUUUUCACCUCUCUUAACGGGGCCUUCCUCUAGUCAACCCCGAGUUUAUGGGAAACACACACACACACACCACACACACACACACCCGCUGAAUGUGUCCUGUAUUUUUCUUUCUGAGAACAAUUCUUAAGCACCUACUAUGUGGCAGAUCUCUGAUAGGAACUGCGAUUUGAAAACAAACAGAUCUUAAGGAGCUCAGCUCAGUGUCUGGUGUGUGUGUGGCAAAACAGAAACAAACAAACACAAAGCGGUCGCUUACAAAAACCCCGUGAUCAAGGGCUAUCAUGGGAAUAAGCCUAAAGGCAGAGAAAGAAUGUACAGUCUACCCUAGGUGAGAACAUUCUAGAAAUGAGAAACGAGCUUCCCUUAGUAAACUGAAGAAAACACACUAUGAAGCAGUUCCAAAGAAACUUCUAGAUCAAUGUAAUUACAUUACCGACGGAUUGUGUGAAACUGAGGUCUUCCCAAUGGAGCUCAGAAGAUUAUGUGCUUUCCUUCCAACCUCCCUGGUUUUCUUCUCUGCUUUAGAUUUCACAUUUUGGGUGACAUAAAUAAAUUAUACUCAUGUGGGUGUAACCGAGUCUGU